rnacentral:lncRNA from 1 species
AGUGGCAGCAGCGGCCGUGGAGGCUGCGGGGGUCCCGGCCUCUGCGGUCUCUCUGGCCGGCCGCAGCUGUGGCGCGGGUGAAACGCCCGCCCUCCUCCUUCGGCUGCGUCUCCCGGGCGCCGGCGAGCGCGGGCGUUCCUCGCACUCAGCGCCUGGAGCCGCCUGGAGCCCCGCUGCGCGCACUUCCCCGGCUCGCGGAGCCCCUCCGGCGGCGUUUCCCACGCCGCGGACUGCAGGUGAUGCUCUUCCUCUUCUGCAGCCGAAAUUCGUCGCGAUGUGUCGCCUGCCAGAUUUUUGCUGGGCGGAAGCAUGAACAGUCUCUGCAGACUGGCCUGGACGACUUGUACUUUGUGGCCCUCCAACUUCUGGAUGUGAAUUUUUUUUCACGACUUAUUAUUAUGCUCUUCGUGGUCUUUGUGUUGAAAAUCACGGAGCUGUAUUUUUAUUUUCAAAUUCUUUCCCAAUGCUCCUCUUGUCUUGACCGUACUCUGAAGCUUAUAAGGUUCUGAGAGGAGGGGGCGAAGGGAUAGGGGAGGAGCCAGUUCCUAAUGUGUCUUACAAGUCAUCCCUAGUGAUAGGGGCUAAUACGCAAAUCACUGUCUCCUCCUCGAAAUAAUAUCCAUUUAGAUAAAUGCAAACACUGUUGAGGUUUAAUUUAUAAAGAAUGCGUCGUCUUUAUGUAAGUGUCCAGCCUCCAGGAAAAUAUCUGCUGUGGAAUAUAUUUUUAAUGCCACUAAAGUACCAAAAUACCUCCCCGAACAGCGUGAAAUUCCGAGGGAGCCAUUUCUGAAUUAUUUUAAAGAAAAAAUAAAUUGAUGUACUUCAGCUCAUUGGUCAGCAGGAAUUGGGCCUAACUCCAAUGAUAAGAUUGAAGGAUUCUUGAAGCUUUCUCUUAAUGGUGAGUAUACCAAUCUGCUUGGGCUGCCAUAACAAAAUGCCAUCGAAUGGGUGGCUUAAAUAAUAGAAAUGUAUUUUCUGAUGUUUCUGAGGGCUAGGAAUCCAAGAUCAAGGUGCC